rnacentral:rRNA from 1 species
GACGAACGCUGGCGGCGUGCUUAACACAUGCAAGUCGAACGGGCCCGCUCUCUUUUUUGGGGGUGGGUUGAGUGGCGAACGGGUGAGUAUCACGUGAGUAACCUGCCCCCUGCUCCUGGAUAACUGCUUGAAAGGGCGGCUAAUACGGGGUGUGCCGGCUGGUCCGCAUGGGCCUGGUCGGGAUAGUUUCAUCUUCGGGUGUUUCGGUGGGGGAUGGGCUCGCGGCCUAUCAGCUUGUUGGUGGGGUGAUGGCCCACCAAGGCGGUGACGGGUAGCCGGCCUGAGAGGGUGGGCGGCCACACUGGGACUGAGACACGGCCCAGACGCCUGCGGGAGGCAGCAGUGGGGGGUAUUGCACAAUGGGCGGAAGCCUGAUGCAGCGACGUCGCGUGAGGGAUGGAGGCCUUCGGGUUGUGAACCUCUUUCUCCGGUGGUGAAGGCCCUGUCCGUUGCGGCGGGGUUGACGGUAGCCGGGGAUGAAGCGCCGGCUAACUACGUG